rnacentral:rRNA from 1 species
AUUGAACGCUGGCGGCAUGCCUUACACAUGCAAGUCGAACGGCAGCACGGGGGCAACCCUGGUGGCGAGUGGCGAACGGGUGAGUAAUGCAUCGGAACGUGCCCAGUAGUGGGGGAUAACCAGUCGAAAGACUGGCUAAUACCGCAUACGACCCAAGGGUGAAAGCGGGGGACCGUAAGGCCUCGCGCUAUUGGAGCGGCCGAUGUCUGAUUAGCUAGUUGGCGGGGUAAGAGCCCACCAAGGCGACGAUCAGUAGCUGGUCUGAGAGGACGACAAGCCACACUGGGACUGAGACCCGGCCCAGACUCCUACGGGAGGCAGCAGUGGGGAAUUUUGGACAAUGGGCGCAAGCCUGAUCCAGCCAUGCCGCGUGCGGGAAGAAGGCCUUCGGGUUGUAAACCGCUUUUGGCAGGAACGAAACGGCGCAAGCCAAUACCUUGCGCUAAUGACGGUACCUGCAGAAUAAGCACCGGCUAACUACGUGCCAGCCGCCGCGGUAAUAC